AAUCAACGCUGGCGGCGUGCCUAACACAUGCAAGUCGAACGCGAAAGUCCCGCAAGGGAUCAGUAGAGUGGCAAACGGGUGAGUAACACGUGGGUGACCUGCCUUCGAGCGGGGGAUAACGUCCCGAAAGGGACGCUAAUACCGCAUAACAUCCUGCCUUUUAACAGGUGGAGAUCAAAGCCGGGGAUCGCAAGACCUGGCACUUGAAGAGGGGCCCGCGCCUGAUUAGCUAGUUGGUGAGGUAACGGCUCACCAAGGCGACGAUCAGUAUCCGGCCUGAGAGGGCGGACGGACACACUGGGACUGAGACACGGCCCAGACUCCUACGGGAGGCAGCAGUGGGGAAUUGUUCGCAAUGGGCGCAAGCCUGACGACGCAACGCCGCGUGGAGGAUGAAGACCUU
rnacentral:rRNA from 1 species